AUUGAACGCUGGCGGCAGGCCUAACACAUGCAAGUCGAGCGGAUGAAGAGAGCUUGCUCUCUGAUUUAGCGGCGGACGGGUGAGUAAUGCCUAGGAAUCUGCCUGGUAGUGGGGGAUAACGUCCGGAAACGGGCGCUAAUACCGCAUACGUCCUACGGGAGAAAGCAGGGGACCUUCGGGCCUUGCGCUAUCAGAUGAGCCUAGGUCGGAUUAGCUAGUUGGUGAGGUAAUGGCUCACCAAGGCUACGAUCCGUAACUGGUCUGUGAGGAUGAUCAGUCACAGUGGAACUGAGACACGGUCCAGACUCCUACGGGAGGCAGCAGUGGGGAAUAUUGGACAAUGGGCGAAAGCCUGAUCCAGCCAUGCCGCGUGUGUGAAGAAGGUCUUCGGAUUGUAAAGCACUUUAAGUUGGGAGGAAGGGCAGUAAGUUAAUACCUUGCUGUUUUGACGUUACCGACAGAAUAAGCACCGGCUAACUUCGUGCCAGCAGCCGCCGUAACAC
rnacentral:rRNA from 1 species